GACGAACGCUGGCGGCGUGCUUAACACAUGCAAGUCGAACGGUGAAGGGACCGGUUUUUGCUGGUUCUGGAUGAGUGGCGAACGGGUGAGUAACACGUGAGUAACCUGCCCCCUUCUUCUGGAUAACCGCAUGAAAGUGUGGCUAAUACGGGAUAUUCUGCGCCUGCUGCAUGGUGGGUGUGGGAAAGAUAUUGUUUCGGUGGGGGAUGGGCUCGCGGCCUAUCAGCUUGUUGGUGGGGUGAUGGCCUACCAAGGCGGUGACGGGUAGCCGGCCUGAGAGGGUGGCCGGUCACACUGGGACUGAGACACGGCCCAGACUCCUACGGGAGGCAGCAGUGGGGAAUAUGGCACAAUGGGCGCAAGCCUGAUGCAGCGACGCCGCGUGAGGGAUGGAGGCCUUCGGGUUGUAAACCUCUUUCGCCAGUGAAGCAGGCCUGUCCCUUUUGUGGGUGGGUUGACGGUAGCUGGAUAAGAAGCGCCGGCUAACUACGUG
rnacentral:rRNA from 1 species